CAAAGCAGCACUGGAGCCUAAAAUGGUCUGUUUCCUCCAAUGAUGUGUUCAGACCCCACUGCUCGUACUGACUUCAGUGAGGCUCCAUACACAGUCACCUGGGAAGAAAAUCAGAAGUCCACUCAUUUCCUUAACUGAGGAGAUUAUUUCCCUACUAGGAUAGAGUGAGCCUGUUCAGUGGCAGUUGCUGGACCCAUCUCCCACCUUCUCCAGUGACUGGAGCUCUCUUCUUCCCUUCUGGACAGCUUGUCCAUGCUUCCACAUGGAAUCCCAGAUCCUGAACUCUUCAAUGCAGACCCUGCCUCCCCACCCUCCACAAUGUACAGUUCCUAGUCCAAUGAUCCCUGGUUUCUCUUUGAACCCUUGUGCGUUAUAAUACAUAUGCCAAUAGCAGUAAUGAAGAAAGGAAAUGUGCUGAUGGAAUGUUCUGACAGAGUAGCAACCUGGGCACAAGCCAAGCAAACACCAUUAACAAGGAGUGCUCAUCCUGCCUCUGCUGUAGUCAUGGAACAAAAGCUGUUAUAAAUCCAGCAACUGAUCAAACCUUUAGUCUGUGGUGUUUUCAUUCUUCUUCUAAACUGAGAUCAGCUUUGAAAGGGUUAAUGCUAGAGUCCAUUCCUCCUGCAGCACUAUGGUGAAGCAUUUCUGCCAUGUGGCUCCCCAUCCCUGGGCGUGCCCCUGUACUGGGUGCUGCUGCCAGCCAUCCAGGGCCAACAUCACAGGGACAGCCAUGCAGGGUCCUCAAGAGCUUGCAUAGGAACCAUGUUGAACAAGUCUUCCUCACCCAGUCCUGGCUCUGCCCACAUGCCCACAACUAUCCUGAGUUCCUGGGCCCCCUACUGAACCCCCAAGGAGAGCCAACAUUUGGACAUGGGAGAGAAGCCGCAGGACCCUGAGAGAGUGCCACCUCAGGGUCACCACCACCCACCACUGGAGCCUCCCAGACAUGUCUGCUGUGUCAGCAGUGCACCAGGGACUGGACCCUCCUGUUCCAGCAGCUGGUGGCGGUCAUAGAAAACUUGUUGGUGUGGAAGCUGGCCUGGCAGGAGGAAGACAUCACCCAGGAAAUAUCUCAGGAGAAAGCAUAGGACUGGGCAUACUGAGCCUAGCUGAAGGCCUGGUGCAGCAUUGUGUGGAACUGCUCUAGCAGCAACUGGCCAGCCAGGCCUGGCCAGUGGUGCCUAUAUCCAGCCCCCUCCAUGCCUGGCCCCUGAUCCCACAGGAGGAGGGCCUCCACUGUCUCCUGUCCACAGGAUCCCCUGGCAUUCACUGUGGUCCCCAGGCCCAUGGGGGAGUAGUCUGCUGCCAGGGUGCUGGUUGUCUGGCACUGUGCCUAGGCACUCCCACCCCGCAGCCCCCCAUCCCAGAACUUGGACAGAGACUCAGCCUCUUGUACAUAAUUUUCAGUUUGGGAGGAAGGCAUUUUAUUGUUGGUGGAUGGGGAGAGUGGUGGAGAAGCUCUGUGUAUAGGGGAGGGAGGAGAGAUGGGACU